AUUGAACGCUGGCGGCAUGCCUUACACAUGCAAGUCGAACGGCAGCACGGACUUCGGUCUGGUGGCGAGUGGCGAACGGGUGAGUAAUGUAUCGGAACGUACCUUUCAGUGGGGGAUAACGUAGCGAAAGUUACGCUAAUACCGCAUAUUCUGUGAGCAGGAAAGCAGGGGAUCGCAAGACCUUGCGCUGAUUGAGCGGCCGAUAUCAGAUUAGCUAGUUGGUGAGGUAAAGGCUCACCAAGGCGACGAUCUGUAGCGGGUCUGAGAGGAUGAUCCGCCACACUGGAACUGAGACACGGUCCAGACUCCUACGGGAGGCAGCAGUGGGGAAUUUUGGACAAUGGGGGCAACCCGUGAUCCAGCCAUGCCGCGUGAGUG
rnacentral:rRNA from 1 species